ensembl:miRNA
UAUUGGGCUGGCCAAAAAGUUCGUUCAGGUUUUUCUGUACCAGCUUCCAGAAGAAUCUGGAUGAACUUUUUGGCCAACCCAAU